CUGCUUAUCUUGCUCUUCAUUGCCUUUGUUUGGUAGAGAGUGGAGUGAGCAACACAACUGGAAAACAGGAAGAAAUUGAAAGCAUUAAAAAAUGGUAAAAUGAAAGUAAAACUGUCACUAUUGGAACGUGGUAUGACUGUAUUCCUGAAAAACCCAAGGGGGAGAAAGCAGCAACAAUGCAUGUGCCAGUGAAUUCCACUCUUGCAAUCAAUAGGUUGCAUUGCUCCUGCCUCCAGAAUUCCCAAUUGAUCCUCAUUUUUCAGCUUGACUCUCAGCUUUGCUUAAGAAUUCUGUUUAAACUCACUUUGGAUCUUCCUGCUCCUUGCUGCCCCAUCCCAGUUCGGUCCUUAGAACUUAAAUCCUGACAGUGAUAUACUUGGCUGAUGCUUCAACCAGGACCACCAGGUUUAGUCAUAAGCGUGAAAGGAAGCAAGUUACACUGCUCCAUCUUAUCCACAUGGAUUUCAUGAAAGGGCCCGAUAACUUAUUAAAAUCCAUCCUCUCUUCUCCGGACUCUUAAUAUUGAGAACUGAAACCAUUUACUCCUACACAGCUUACUAUCUACGUUAACAUGACUUUAAUUUCAAUUGUCUUCACAUCCCAAGACUUUGUGCUCCUGGCUUCAAAACGACCUCUUUUCUUUUUUCACCAAUCCUAAUAUUCUAUCAUAGCCCUUACCCUAUCCUAAUUAAGCCCUCUCUAUUGCACUCACCCCUGCUCUGACAGACCUGCCUUAAACUAGACUUCAAAAUCUGAAUAAAUCAAAUCUUG
rnacentral:lncRNA from 1 species